rnacentral:rRNA from 1 species
CCUACGGGUGGCAGCAGUGGGGAAUAUUGCACAAUGGGGGAAACCCUGAUGCAGCGACGCCGCGUGAGUGAAGAAGUAUUUCGGUAUGUAAAGCUCUAUCAGCAGGGAAGAAAAAAGACGGUACCUGACUAAGAAGCCCCGGCUAACUACGUGCCAGCAGCCGCGGUAAUACGUAGGGGGCAAGCGUUAUCCGGAAUUACGGGGUGUAAAGGGAGCGUAGACGGCGCGGCAAGUCUGAAGUGAAAGGCGGGGGCUUAACCCCUGAACUGCUUUGGAAACUGCCAUGCUAGAGUGCUGGAGAGGUAAGUGGAAUUCCUGGUGUAGCGGUGAAAUGCGUAGAUAUUAGGAGGAACACCAGUGGCGAAGGCGGCUUACUGGACAGUAACUGACGUUGAGGCUCGAAAGCGUGGGGAGCAAACAGGAUUAGAUACCCUGGUAGUC